UACCAGCACCCCGAGUGGUCGGGACGAUUAUUGGGCCUAAAGCAUCCGUAGCCGGUCCUGCAAGUCUUCCGUUAAAUCCAGCUGCUCAACAGAUGGGCUGCGGGGGAUACUACAGGGCUAGGAGGCGGGAGAGGCAAGCGGUACUUUAUGGGUAGGGGUAAAAUCCGUUGAUCCAUUGAAGACCACCAGUGGCGAAGGCGGCUUGCCAGAAUGCGCUCGACGGUGA
rnacentral:rRNA from 1 species